GGGCGUUUAGCUCAGCUGGUCCAGAGCAUCUGCUUUACACGCAGAGGGCCGUAGGUUCGAAUCCUACAACGCCCA
rnacentral:tRNA from 1 species